rnacentral:lncRNA from 1 species
CUAAUUCUUAUUAGAUUGAUCCAACUAUAUAUACUUCUAAGGCUUAGUUUAGUAUUGAGGCCUAUCUAACGCUAGCUAUUAGAUAAAAUGGAGUUGUGGAAAAAGCAUAUAGGAAUAUGCUUCUGCGUUCUCCGAUGGAACCGCAGAAAAUAUAACGUAACCGACUCAUCGCGAUAUGUGAAACGCAAUAAUAUUACGUACGGACGAAGCCUAAGUUUCUGUGUAAACAAAGGUGGUGUUUGCACAAAAAACUAAUCGAAAAUGGUUACAUGUGUUUUCCAUGAGAAAGAAAAAGUUUAUGUUUAUUUUUUGAUACAGCGUAAAACAGAAAAGUUUUCAACGUAUAUAUAUUUAAUUUGUAGGAAAAAAAAAUAAAAUAAAGAGAGUAAUAGCUUGGUCUGCUAGUAGAAAAAAUAAAGAUAUUGAUAUGUUGAAAAAACUUAUUAUAGGAAUAUAAUAGUAUUAAAGAUUUGUGGAUUUUUACUUCCAAUUAAUUAUAUAAUGAAUUAUUACGAGUGAUGUAACAGCUUAAUUGAUCUGCUAGUACUAAUAACUCAUUGAGCUCUAAAUCUAAAAUACUUAAGUUUAGUUAUUAGUUCUAGUGUGAACGUCACAUACAAGUUCCUCACAUUUUCUCACAUUAUCUGAUGAGCUUUCUAGUACUGGCACGAAUAAGUUGUUUGACCCUAAACCAUCCGUCUGAAAUGAUAAAAUUUGAUUAUUAGAUCUUGUGUGCUUGUCACAUAUAAAUCUCUUACACUCUUCCACAUUAUUGUAUGUGGGAUCUGGGGGUGCUACAAGUGAU